CGUCUGGGGAAGAUGGAGCCCAGGCUCCAGAGUGCUGUCCUUUCCGGUCCACGGAGGAAUCGUGAAGCCCGUGGUCUCUCCAAUUUAAAGGGAAAACGUACCCUUUAGAAAGUGCAGAAGCAACGCUGGUCAAGAACUCCAGGAAGAUCUGUGUUCCUCGUAAAAGCAUCCAGGUCCAGAGGAGCGACGCGAAUUAAACCCCGCAGGAGGAGGCGCGCCACGUGGCGGCACCGCGCACCGGCUCUAUAGCGCCAGAAGCCAACCGACCUCUAGGCGCUGUGCACGGUUCCCGCAGAGUUGUGGGCCUCGCUCCGGAAAUCCCGGUUCUGCUCUCCAGAGAAUCCUGGUCAGACACACAGCAAUGCCGGAUGGACCUUUUACCCCAGUUCAAUUCAUUUGUAAAGAGUGUAAUAAUCAUAAUUAAUUUCUGUAAUGUAUCUCUCAUUGAAAGGGCAAACAACUUUGUAUUAUUGGAAAAAUGGGAAACAGAUAAGAAAUGAACAUACUUGUCUUCAGUCCAAGUAUUUAAUAAUAAACUGGAAUAAUUUUAGAUUUACAAA